UGCCGUGCGGGUGUCCUCCAUCCGCCUCUACAGAGACAUGGUGCAGGCCGUGGUCUGGUGCCACCGGAGCAGAAUGAAGGGGACGGUGCGCAGGGCCCUGGUCCCACUGCUCCUUCGGAUGAGGGAUGAGAACCAGGACGCGGCCCAGGCCGCCAGGAAAGCCACUGUACAAACGGCCAAGCUCCAGCGCUGGAACGACCUCCGGGAGCUGGCUGAGAAACAGGAGACGUGGAGGAUGGCACAGUGCUUGGUAAGGCGAGCCCCACAGCCCCAGAGCAACGGGAACAGCGCAGGGAGCUGGGGAGCGUCUGCUAUGCCCGUGUUCUUGUGCUCUCUCCAGCUGCAGUGGGACCAGAGCAGGGCGCAGGAAUACCUGCAGCAGAGCCAGCCCUACCUGCAGGACCCUCAGGCGGCCUUGCGAGAGGAGGCCGUGAGGUUCAUUGGUGAGCCGCAGCCCCUUUGUCCCUCCCUUGGCAGUGGUUGGCGGUCCCAGCCACUGCCCUGUGGCCCUAACAGCCCCUUGAGUGGGUCCCAGGGCCCUGGUGCCUUGCUCAGGCCCCCCUCGGCCACUCUCGCUGCUGGGGAGCAGUGCGACUCUGCUGCUGGGAGCAGGAUCUGACGGGUGCUCUGUGUCUAGGGCUUGCUGCGCGCUACUCGAGGGACCUGAGCGAGGACAAGCUGCAGGACAUCAUCACAGGUAAGUGAGGGCUGUGGUGCGUGUACUGAAGCUGGGGGCAGAGACCCCCAUGCCUCGCUCUCCUCCAAGGAAAUUCUUGGGGCAGAGGGACGAUACAGAACCACAGAGUCCUAGAAAGGCUGACUGUCAAGCGACCUUAAGGGUCUCAGAACCAGGGAAUCCCAGAGAGAUGGGAUUGGAAGGGACCUGAAAGAUCAUGCAGCCAUGAGAUCCUAGAAUAAUUCAGUGGAAAGGGAGCUCAAAGAUCAUACGACCAUGAAAUCCCGGAGCGGUAGAAUGGUUAGGUUGGAAAGAACAUUAAAGGCCAUUGUGUUCCAACCCCCUGCUGGAUGCCCCUGGACGCC
rnacentral:lncRNA from 1 species